rnacentral:sRNA from 1 species
CUGCUGCCCUGGGUCAGAUCACAAAAAAUGAAUCCAGGUCCUGUGUGCCAAUCGCUUUUAAUUUGUAGUCUUCCUCUUUUGUUUUCUGUAAGGUAAGAGUGUCUCCUAGUUGGCAGGCAGUCAGCGUUCUUGAGAGGUUGUUUGACAGUCACUUUAUCUUUCUUCUGCCAGUGGGGAUCAGGAGGCCUGGCAGAAAGGAGUCCUGUUUGCUUCUGGGCAGAACUUGGCACGCCAAUUGAUGGAGACGCCAGCCAAUGAGAUGACGCCAACCAGAUUUGCCGAAAUUAUUGAGAAGAAUCUCAAAAGUGCUAGUAGUAAAACCGAGGUCCAUAUCAGACCCAAGUCUUGGAUUGAGGAACAGGCAAUGGGAUCAUUCCUCAGUGUGGCCAAAGGAUCUGACGAGCCCCCAGUCUUCUUGGAAAUUCACUACAAAGGCAGCCCCAAUGCAAACGAACCACCCCUGGUGUUUGUUGGGAAAGGAAUUACCUUUGACAGUGGUGGUAUCUCCAUCAAGGCUUCUGCAAAUAUGGACCUCAUGAGGGCUGACAUGGGAGGAGCUGCAACUAUAUGCUCAGCCAUUGUGUCUGCUGCAAAGCUUAAUUUGCCCAUUAACAUUAUAGGUCUGGCCCCUCUUUGUGAAAAUAUGCCCAGCGGCAAGGCCAACAAGCCGGGGGAUGUUGUUAGAGCCAAAAACGGGAAGACCAUCCAGGUUGAUAACACUGAUGCUGAGGGGAGGCUCAUACUGGCUGAUGCGCUCUGUUACGCACACACAUUUAACCCGAAGGUCAUCCUCAAUGCCGCCACCUUAACAGGUGCCAUGGAUGUAGCUUUGGGAUCAGGUGCCACUGGGGUCUUUACCAAUUCAUCCUGGCUCUGGAACAAACUCUUCGAG